rnacentral:rRNA from 1 species
AUUGAACGCUAGCGGGAUGCCUUACACAUGCAAGUCGAACGGAGUGGCGAACGGGUGAGUAAUGUAUCGGAACGUGCCCAGUAGCGGGGGAUAACUACGCGAAAGCGUAGCUAAUACCGCAUACUAUUGGAGCGGCCGCUAUCGGAUUAGCUAGUUGGUGGGGUAAAGGCUCCCCAAGACGACGAUCCGUAGCUGGGUUGAGAGGACGACGAGCAAGCCUGGAACUGAGACACGGCCCAGACUCCUACGGGAGGCAGCAGUGGGGAAUUUUGGACAAGGGGGGAAACCCGGCGCCAGCCAUCCGGCUUGUGCGAUGAAGGCCUUCGGGUUGAAAAGCACUUUUGGCAGGAAAGCGGUACCUGCAGAAUAAGCACCGGCUAACUACGUGCCAGCAGCCGCGGUAAUAC